GAAUGUGUUAACAUUGAAUAAAUGAACAGAAGGAUCCCCUAUAUAUUCAGUAGGUGGAAAUGACCUGGCAUUAUUACCAUAUGGUUUUACUGCACUCCAAACUCCUGCUCAUGAAUAUUAGUAAUCUCACAGUAGGGCUGCUGCUAGUACAUUAGCAGCACCCUACAUCAUAGAAGCAUGAAGCCCUUUCCAUGGAGCAAACGGCAGCAAACACAAUAACACAGAGGGGCAGAGCCGCGGAAUAUUACACAGUUCCCAAAGUGGAAAGCGACCAGGAACUGCCCCAGGUAGCAGAUAAGAGGGGGUUGUUAAUCUGCUUGUCAGUUUGAUUGUCUGAGAAACUUGCAUAAAUUGAUAAGAAUCAAAGCAAGAUUGGACGCCUGUUUGGCAGGGAACGUGAGGGGAUUUUGGGAGCAUGAUAUAAAGCUGCGGUACAAAGGAGUGCUCAGUGCAGGAGAAGUGACGGCCGGUACUGGAUGUAAUCGCCUUGCUUCCUCUUCUACACACACAGCAGCACAGCGAGUUUGCUCUGUUUUCCAAGAACGCAGUGAGAGGGUUAAUUCCACACUCCUAUUCAGUCCUGUUUUUUUUUCCUUUUCAUUCAAGAUUUAUUAAAGAUGUUGGCUCCCCUGCAAAAUGUUACUAUGCUCCCCUUCUCUCCCUGCUGUGAUGUCAGCACCAGCAGUGAUUCAGACUCGUCCAACUCGUUUGCUGCUGCUGACAUGGACCUGGAUGUCAUUGAAGAGUAUUUAAAUGAACAGAGAAGUGCGAGCACACACGUGGCUGAGGUCCAGCCCGAGCCAGGAGAGCGCUGCUGGAAUGAGGAAGAAACCCAGAUUAUAGAGAACAGCUGGUCUGGCCGGUUUCCCUAUGAGUGGCAUCUUUACAGCGCGCUUUCAAACCCCAGCUCUGAA